rnacentral:rRNA from 1 species
UACGUAGGGUGCAAGCGUUGUCCGGAAUUACUGGGCGUAAAGAGCUUGUAGGCGGUUUGUCGCGUCUGCUGUGAAAUUUCGGGGCUCAACCCCGAACUUGCAGUGGGUACGGGCAGACUAGAGUGUGGUAGGGGAGACUGGAAUUCCUGGUGUAGCGGUGAAAUGCGCAGAUAUCAGGAGGAACACCGAUGGCGAAGGCAGGUCUCUGGGCCACUACUGACGCUGAGAAGCGAAAGCAUGGGGAGCGAACAGG